rnacentral:rRNA from 1 species
UACGUAGGCAGCAAGCGUUGUUCGGAGUUACUGGGCGUAAAGGGUGCGUAGGCGGCCCUGUAAGUAUGAUGUGAAAUCUCCCGGCUUAACUGGGAGGGUGCGCUAUAGACUGCGGGGCUCGAGUGUGGGAGAGGAAAGUGGAAUUCCUGGUGUAGCGGUGAAAUGCGUAGAUAUCAGGAGGGACACCGGUGGUGUAAACGGCUUUCUGGACCAUAACUGACGCUGAGGCACGAAAGCGUGGGUAGCAAACAGG